UUUUUUUUUUUUUAUAGAUGUGUGUUGGACUUAAUGGGGUUAUUGACUACUGCUUGGCUGUUGUCUCUGUAGGCUUUUGAAGAACCAUAGCUGAGUGACACUCUUGGAGAAGAGUCGUACAAAGACAGCACUCUAUUAUUUGCAGCUGCUCAGGGACAAUCUUACCCUCUGGACCUCUGAUAUGCAGGAGCAGAUGGACGAGGCAUGAGGAGCUUGAGGAAGGGAGAGUGUUAUGAGCCGUGUUUCCGCCACCAAUUUCGAUCUCAACAUCCCCCGUAACCUUUGCUCAAAACUGUUGAACCAAAAAAAAGUAUUGAAGUGUUAAGUGUUUAUGAAAAUUUAUGUGCACAGCUUGAUGAUGAUUGAUGAUCUACUCUAUUUAAUAUUGUCUUAAACUAUGUUCUCUAAGGAUUUGUCAUCUCUUGACUUUUUGCUUAAAA